AGAACCCGCCCGGAUUCUCAGGUGAACGCGCACACACUCUCUCUCUCCUCUUUUUUCCUUCUUCCUCUUAAAAAGUCUCCGCUACAGAACCAGUGCUUCUAACUAGGGUUUUACACACUCCGAUCAAUGCUGUUCCAGUAGCAUCAAACUACAGUUGAUCUGCCUUUGUCUAGGUAGAGUUGGACGGUUUGCUAUCAAGAUUUUCUUUGUGUUUCCCAGCUUCGGUCUGGCUGGGACUAGAGGGAAGUUUGAGGGGCCAUUGUUUGGGCAUAACAUAGGAUGGACCUGACGUUUCUGAGUGCUGUUCUAGUUGGGGCAGGUUGCCUUGCUCUGGGAUACUACAUUGGUGCGCGAUAUCCUGGUCAUAUCUUUAUCUCAGCCAGAUUAAAUAAAGAUAGUGAAGUUGUUGGUAGUGGGAAGAAGAAGGAUAAGCAAAAAGAGCCCCUUGAGAUUGAAAGUCUGGCUAACAUUCUUGAAGACUUCAAAAUGGUUUUGGUUGUGAGGAAUGAUCUAAAGAUGGGUAAAGGCAAAAUUGCUGCCCAGUGCAGCAAAACAUUGACAUUGAUGAUCCAUUGCCGUGUCAUGCAACUUUGGGUCUUUAUAAGAAGCUUCUUCAUCGGGCACCAAAAGCGUUAAACAGGUGGGAGAUGUGUGCGCAGCCUAAGGUGGUUGUAAAAAUAGAAAGUGAGGAAGAUAUGCUAGUUUUGCAAGAGCGAGCAAAAUCACUAAAAUUACCAACCCACAUUACAAUUGAUGCAGGGAGAACACAGAUUGCACCAAAUUCAAGGACAGUGAUGGCUCUUCUUGGACCUAUUGAAGUGGUUGAUGAUGUAACUGGUGGACUAAAACUAUUAUAAUUGUUUCUUCAUUCAUGUGGAUCUUCAUCCUAUGCCCCACACAAUGGUGGAGCAGUUAGAGGAUACCAGUCAUUGAUCAGAUGUCUUGGACGGCAAGUGAGUCCAAUUACAUUUUAUGAAGAUCCAUGUCAUGCAGGGCCUUAACCAGAUGUUCACAUUUAACCUUUCUUUAUUACCAAUUGCGAUGAUGAUGAAAAAUGCCGACCAAAUCUUUGUAAUAGACUCAUUAGGCUAUGGAGUUAAUAUUGAUCGCAUUACAGCAGUUCAACUUUUAUUAGAUAUGGAAACUAAUGCUAAAUUGCCAAUGAGCUCUAUCUCAAAUUACACC